UACCUGAAGAAUAAGCAUCGGCUAACUCCGUGCCAGCAGCCGCGGUAAGACGGAGGAUGCAAGUGUUAUCCGGAAUUACUGGGCGUAAAGCGUCUGUAGGUGGUUUAAUAAGUCAACUGUUAAAUCUUGAGGCUUAACUUCAAAACAGCAGUCGAAACUAUUAGACUAGAGUAUAGUAGGGGUAAAGGGAAUUUCCAGUGGAGCGGUGAAAUGCGUAGAUAUUGGAAAGAACACCGAUGGCGAAAGCACUUUACUGGGCUAUUACUAACACUCAGAGACGAAAGCUAGGGUAGCAAAUGGGAUUAGAUACCCCAGUAGU
rnacentral:rRNA from 1 species